ensembl:lncRNA
AAGAAGAAAUAAAAAAACAAACAAACAAAAAGAAUGCAAAAUGCAAGAAAAAAACUAGUUUGCAUCACUGCCAAAAGACCUGGCCACAUCUACACAGGAAAAGUUCAUCUAUCUAUCUAUCUAUCUGUAUAAAGUGUUUCUGUCAUAAAAGCUGUGUAAAGUUAGGAGAAGUGAUAAAGGACUGAUGCAUUAACAACUCUAUUACAGGUCGCUCCCAUAAAACACACAUCCAAGUUUUUCGGACACAAACGCCUGUGGGAGAUUAAUCAGAUUUGAACGGUCUCUGCCGCCGAGCUUUUCAGAUCGUUGCUCAGCACACUGUUAAAAAGCCACGCCUCCGUGCCUCUACGCCGAGGUUUAAGCUGGCGAGGCGCCGUGGGUAGGUCUACCGCGGCGAGGACGCCCAACCUUCGGAAUAUAAUAUAGAGCAUUCUUCAGCGAGGGAAGUUUACCGGAGGCUGAACACUGAGCGAGGAUCUUGGCGUUCUCGGCUCAGGUGUGGACCGAGGGAAGUUUUGCUUCAGCUUGUGACGAAACGGAUCAGAAGUUUCUGGCACCACAUCGUAGAUCCUUCCACGGAGACGAGCAUUAGAUCUAACAAUGGUGAUGAUGAUCCUGAUGAAGGCCACAAGCCAAAAUGUGUCAGUGGAGCAGUGAAGUUUUCUGAAUCAUUCAAAUGUUCUUCGAGAUCCAACUUUCUAUUUCCUUAUUGCUUCAGGACUCUGUGUGGUGUAACGUUGGGUUGUGUUGCGGUUGAGAGGAGGCGGCAAAACACCUAGCAGGCUAGUCAGAAGAACACCCACCCACGCUGGUAUCGGUAAUCCACGGUGGUUCUUUAAUACGCCAUCUUCAACAACCAUAUAAAAGCCCGGCUGAACGGCUGUGGCUCAACAACAUAACGCCCAGUGUUCAUACAACCCAAGCGUUGCAAACAAAAAGAAAAACAAAAGAAAGGUCUCUCCCCAUGCACUAGCGUGCAAGCACAUGUCCAUAGAAUCACAGAGAGAGGGCAGUGGCCCAUACUGAUGACAACAAUAACCCUCGACUUGGGUGUCUUAAAGAGACACCACACCAUAGGGGCUGUUACACAGGGUUCAUGAUUGCUUCAUUUUUUGUAAUGUGAGAACAGGGUGUGUAUUACUGGGAAAGGUAAUUAAAAGUAUUUAACCACAGAAAAACUGACACGCAAACAGACUUAUUUGGAAAAUAGUUUCUGGAUACGUCAGUUUCCAUGUCGUGCCUGAACAGGAACUCUCAUUCACCUGUUUGAGAGUGGAAUAAGGUCCAAGAAGAGGGAACCUUCUAAUGUAUAAUAAGAAGUGCUCAAUGUUUGUACACAGUGUAGGGUUUUCUAAUAUUGUCACUAAUAAAAGACGAAUAUAAUUUAAGAUGUUUUAAAGUGGAACUGCUGCCAGCCUCUGAAUCUAGCGGGUCUUUCAGUGUGUUCUCCCUGUGUCUCUGUGGACCGUGGCACCAAAGUCCAAAGACAGACAUGUUAGGUUAAUCUGUGAUUAUUAAUUGGUUGUAGGUGUAAAUGUGUGUUAGUCCUGCAUCAGACUUGUGACCUGUCCAGGGUCUGGGAUAUGUUGAAAUGUAAAACACCUGAAGCACCUCCUGGUACUAACUGCAUUCCACUAAACUGUCAUCAUCUGUGACACCCACGCAGAGAUAAUGAAUGCUUCUGUGUGUCUGUAAAAAUGUUCCAUUCUCACAACUGUUGCUGUCAGUCAACUCUCUGGAUUUAUUAAAUAGUUAAAGAGGAGAAUAGGUUUUAGAAUCAAAAGCAUUCAGAGCUGAAGAGCCUGUUUUAUUCAGAAAUCUGUAGUCAAGACAAACUCAGUGAUUAUCAAGCUCGAGAGUCUCUUCAUUCAAACAACUUCUGUCAACAAAUGGCAGAGAAUACUUUCCAACAUUCCACCUAUAAAUAUUUUACCAGUUUAAUUUCUAUUUGUAAUAUCAUUAUAUUGUAUAUAAUGUUACCAUAUAUCCCAUAUAUACAAUAUAUUUUUCAUUUUUAAUGACAAGGAUGUACACAUCCUGGACAGAGACGAACGCUGGUUUAAGCGCAGAGUGAAGGAGGCCAUUUACGUGAAAAGGGAAAGACCAUCUCUGAACCAAGGAGGGGGCCUAAGGGUACAUCUGUCACCAUCUUACAAUGCUGUGAUUGCAGCCAUUCCCCGAUGACAUAAACUAUACAGGUUUUUGGAGGGAUUCUGUUAGGUCCAUACUCGCUUUAUGCCUGGGGCUCAUGUGGAAGAAAAAAAGCUUGCACUUCUUGAUAUUCCUGUUGUAAGCUGACAGUUUAAAACCCUCCUCCCCAUCCACACACACACACACACACACACACAUAUAUAUAUGUGUGUGUGUGUGUGUGUGUAUUGUUGGGAUUGAAAAUGUUUGAUUUCUCUUACUAAAAUAACUGGUUAUAAUCAUUUUUCGGACAUUUACUGCAAAUGUGCUCAUAAUGAGUUGGCACUCAGUCUUCUGAAGGUCAUAAGCUUCGUUCGGCAUGACUGUCCAGACUGAUAUAUUGUAAGAAAUGACUUAGAGUGCAGAGGGGUAAUUGCAAGCACGCUUACACACAGAUUAUGAUUAGAAUAAGUCUCUGGGUCUAAACCAACUUUGAAUCACUAGAAGAACAAUGCAUAAUAACAUUAGAUUAUCAAGGCUAGGCAGAGCAGAGAGGUGUUUUGCUUUUCUAUCUCUUACAGAGGAGGGAGUGGAUACCAGACGAGGUCAUGGAGAUAUGAGGAUGCUUCGCAGCAGACACCAAGACUGCCAAUUCCGUGCGGGAGGAAGAUAGCUGCUAUAAUCUAUGUUUUUGUCUCACUGUAUAAUGUUGUACAGCCCGUUUGAGGGUUGUCCUUUUUGUGAAACCUGCUGCUGGUUAACAUAGAGGUCCACAGCACUGUGUAAACGUGUAAAUUUCAACUUUCAAAUGCAAAGUAAAUCCUUUUUUCAAAGACAAACCUUUCUCCUGAGAUUCUUUCGAAAAAUUCUUUCGAAUAUAUAUAUAUAUAUAUAUAUAGAUAUAUAUCUUCUUCCUAGCGGUUUAUAUCCUGCAACGCAGGGUCCGCUAUCUUGCAUGCCUUCCUCCACUUCUUCCUAUCAAGGGCGUCUUCUGGUGGAACAUUCACAGCCUUCAUAUCAUCCUUGAUUCGGUCCAUCCAGCGCUUUUUUGGUCUUCCUUGUGGCCUGUUUCCAUCCAGAUCUAAUUGCUGGGCUGUCUUUGCGAUGGAAUUUUUAUCGCUACGGACAACAUGGCCGUACCAUCGAACCC